rnacentral:misc_RNA from 1 species
AACCUUAUCAAACUCCUCUCCAGGGGACCGAACUUUCUCGCCGGUAAGCAAUCCAGUGCCCAACUGCUCCCUCACACACUUGUAUAGUGGGUAAGACCUGCAUUCCUCGAUCUUGUUGGCAAUUGUUGGAUUCCCACUUUCAUAUGCCUUUCUUGCAAUGUCAACUUCUUUAGGCAAAAGGGCUUUCAGUUCUUCCUCGAAAGCUCCUAUCUUUUGGAGGACUGAAGUGUUCGGAUUCUUCUCAUUCUCACCAUUUGCUAAGGCAUUAUCGACAAGAACAUGCCUUAGUUUUUGCAUCAGUGGAUAGGUAGCACUGCAGGGG